UCCUACGGGAGGCAGCAGUGGGGAAUAUUGGACAAUGGGCGAAAGCCUGAUCCAGCCAUGCCGCGUGUGUGAAGAAGGUCUUCGGAUUGUAAAGCACUUUAAGUUGGGAGGAAGGGUUGUAGAUUAAUACUCUGCAAUUUUGACGUUACCGACAGAAUAAGCACCGGCUAACUCUGUGCCAGCAGCCGCGGUAAUACAGAGGGUGCAAGCGUUAAUCGGAAUUACUGGGCGUAAAGCGCGCGUAGGUGGUUAGUUAAGUUGGAUGUGAAAUCCCCGGGCUCAACCUGGGAACUGCAUUCAAAACUGACUGACUAGAGUAUGGUAGAGGGUGGUGGAAUUUCCUGUGUAGCGGUGAAAUGCGUAGAUAUAGGAAGGAACACCAGUGGCGAAGGCGACCACCUGGACUGAUACUGACACUGAGGUGCGAAAGCGUGGGGAGCAAACAGGAUUAGAUACCCUGGUAGUCCACGCCGUAAACGAUGUCAACUAGCCGUUGGGAGCCUUGAGCUCUUAGUGGCGCAGCUAACGCAUUAAGUUGACCGCCUGGGGAGUACGGCCGCAAGGUUAAAACUCAAAUGAAUUGACGGGGGCCCGCACAAGCGGUGGAGCAUGUGGUUUAAUUCGAAGCUACGCGAAGAACCUUACCAGGCCUUGACAUC
rnacentral:rRNA from 1 species